CCUACGGGAGGCAGCAGUGAGGAAUAUUGGUCAAUGGGCGCGAGCCUGAACCAGCCAAGUAGCGUGAAGGAUGACUGCCCUACGGGUUGUAAACCUCUUUUAUCAAGGAAUAAAGUGAGGCACGUGUGCCUUUUUGUAUGUACCUUAUGAAUAAGCAUCGGCUAACUCCGUGCCAGCAGCCGCGGUAAUACGGAGGAUCCGAGCGUUAUCCGGAUUUAUUGGGUUUAAAGGGAGCGCAGGUGGGUUGUUAAGUCAGUUGUGAAAGUUUGCGGCUCAACCGUAGAAUUGCAUUUGAUACUGGCAGUCUUGAGUACAGUAGAGGUAGGCGGAAUGCGUGGUGUAGCGGUGAAAUGCGUAGAUAUCACGAAGAACACCGAUUGCGAAGGCAGCUUACUAAACUGCCACUGACAGUGAGGCUCGAAAGUGUGGGUAGCAAACAGGAUUAGAUACCCGUGUAGUC
rnacentral:rRNA from 1 species